rnacentral:rRNA from 1 species
GAGGCAGCAGUGGGGGAAUAUUGCACAAUGGGCGCAAGCCUGAUGCAGCCAUGCCGCGUGUGUGAAGAAGGCCUUCGGGUUGUAAAGCACUUUCAGCGGAGAGGAAGGCGUUAAGGUUAAUAACCUUGGCGAUUGACGUUACCCGCAGAAGAAGCACCGGCUAACUCCGUGCCAGCAGCCGCGGUAAUACGGAGGGUGCAAGCGUUAAUCGGAAUUACUGGGCGUAAAGCGCACGCAGGCGGUCUGUCAAGUCGGAUGUGAAAUCCCCGGGCUCAACCUGGGAACUGCAUUCGAAACUGGCAGGCUAGAGUCUUGUAGAGGGGGGUAGAAUUCCAGGUGUAGCGGUGAAAUGCGUAGAGAUCUGGAGGAAUACCGGUGGCGAAGGCGGCCCC